rnacentral:rRNA from 1 species
UACGUGAGGGUGCGAGCGUUGUCCGGAAUUAUUGGGGCGUAAAAGCGCGUGUAGGCGGCCAGGUAGGUCCGUUGUGAAAACUCGAGGCUCAACCUCGAGACGUCGACGGAAACCAUCUGGCUAGAGUCCGGAAGAGGAGAGUGGAAUUCCUGGUGUAGCGGUGAGAUGCGCAGAUAUCAGGAGGAACACCGAUGGGCGAAGGCGGCAUCCUGGACCGAUACUGACG